rnacentral:lncRNA from 1 species
UUUCAGAGUUCAAAGUUAUUACCUUUCUUGUUUUGUCCAGAGAUUUCAGUUGUAAUCAGCAGGAGAACAGAUAGUAGUGAGCAUAUAUACUGUUAAUGUAAAACUCCUUCCAAAAGAUAAACACAAAAUCUUAUAGCAAACAAAUGCUUAUAGCAGCUUUAUUCAUAAUUUCCCAAAGUUGGAAGCAACCAAGAGAAUUGUCAUUUUCUGACCUGUGAGCCCCUAGAAAAGACUUAAUCACAGAGCUUGUCUUUAUUUGGUCAGACUCAGAGCUUGUUGAGUGGUUAUAGUCCUAUCCUCAGGGCAUUUGUCAAAAACAAGCAACUGUAAUGGUUUAGCAUCAUAACUGCCUGAGGUGGGAAUGCUUGUUCUCAGAAUCUGUGUUGAUUGCUUGAUAAAACAAAACAUCAAUAUUCUCCAAGAGAUUAUAGUGGAACUCACAGUCAAAAUAACAUAACAUUCACAUGUCUGUGAUAUAAUCCAGAAUUGCUUAACAUACCAAGAAUCAGGAAAAUAUAUUCUCAAGUGAAAAAGCAAUAAACAGAUGUCAACCACAAGAUAUUCAGACAUGGAGAUUAUGAGACAAGGGCUUUUUAAAAAAAUAUUUUAUUUAUUUAUUCAUGAGAGAUAUAGAGAGAAAGAGGCAGAGACAUAGGCAGAGGGAGAAGCAGGCUCCCUGCAGGGAGCCCGAUGUGGGACUCGAUCCCAGGACCUGGGAUCAUGACCUGGGCCAAAGGCAGACACUCAACUACUGAGCCACCAGGCAUCUUGAGACAAGGAUUUUAUUUUAUUUUAUUUUAUUUUAUUUUAUUUUAUUUUAUUUAUUUAUUUGAGGAGGGAGAGGAACUGAAACAGACUCCCCACUGAGAGUGGAGCCCCCUGUGGGGUUGGAUCCCAUGACCGUGAGAUCAUGACCUGAGCCAAAACCAAGAGUCACUUAACCGACUGAGCCAUCCAGGUGUCCCCGUCUCCUUUUAAAAAAUAUUUUAUUUAUUUAUCAAACCUCUUUUAGUGUAGCUCAAGAGUACACCCACUUGAGGUUUUGGUCAGUGAAUUAUGCCACACAUCCCCAUGGAAGUUUAGAAUUUCUGAAUCCUAAAAUCCUAUAAUAAUCUGUUGCCAAAUGAUGCUAUUCUGGUACAGAAUUCAAAUGCGGGACUUGAUGUGAUACUUAUUAAGUUUCACUGUUUGGAAUUUAGACUAAUAUUUCAGACUGCUGAGGUUUUUACUUUUUGCUUUACUUGGUUUUUAAGCUCACCUUCGCGUUUACCAUCCAUGAGAACUUUCCACCUUGAAUGAAUGUGACAAAAGGACCGUUUGCUUUCCGGAUUUGUUUCUAAGAUUGUCUGGAGUCUCUUUGGCACUCCACGGGAGACCCCAUUCCACGUGAAUGCCAUUCUGCCCACCAGCACAGUGAACUCGUGAUGGAGCCACCUGUCUUCCCCCGUCAUCCCGCCUACAUGGAAAUGCUUUCCAUUGAGAAAUGAGAACAGUGCAUUAAAAAUAACACAUGUACUAAGAGGUGAAUUUCAUGACCCUUAGUGUGAUUUUCGUAAUACGUUAAUGUACUUUGCUUUCCAUAGAAGUGUGUAAUGGGGAUUAAUGAGAAUAUGUGAUUCCGUGUAAGCUUUCACUCACAUCUGACAAAACUUCCACUUUUCCGGACAAAUUCAUGUGAAGAUGUACAAACAAGAUUUGGGGGAAGAGGAGCAGCUGGAAACCAUAGACGUCCAGUUUCUGGGGCCCAAGGGUGAGCAGGAGAAGCCAGAAACAGUAGGCGCAUCGGGCUGAGUUUGAGAUGAGGGGAAGGGAGGCUGGUUUGCUGCUCUGAACCCUUUAAAACUUAAUCAGUGUUGUUCACAUUAAUGCUGGAGACAACGUAGGAGACAAUGAGGAAGUGUGAGCGGAUCACGGUUGGCACUUUAUUUGAGGGAAUGUAGCAGAAGGAAGAGAGGCUGGUUAAAGCCAGAGCCUUUAAAGGAAUGAAGAGGCUGAGGGUGCAGGGGAAGAGCUUCUAUGGGUAGCUUAUAAUUAUGUAGGAAAGAGAAGAAGACGGGAAAAGUCAGGGGAUAUAUUGAUUUUACUACCUAUCGAAGACUUGGUCAAUAAAUACCUAUAAGAUUCCAAGAGCAGAGUGAGGAUGAGGGAAAACCAGGGCAGUUGAUGGAGGGGUGGAGUGGUGGAGACUUGUCACCCAGAGCAGGGGCAAGACAAGAAGCGCUGGGGACACACGGGCUGGUCAGUGGUGUGGCUUUCCAUGGGCCAGUCUCCCCCAUACCUUACCCUGUUUAUGUAUUUACGGCCUUAGACACUCAUAGUCUAUAAUUAAAUUAGAUUGCCAACACAGCAAUCUGAAAUUUCAGAUUAAGGUAAAUGCUAGUGGAGAAUUAUUUUCUAUUUAGAUCAUGAAUUGUGCUAGUUUUACUUUUUCCACCCAAUGAUACUCUAUAAACUAUCAUGAGUUUCGCUGUGUGAUUUUUCUGUUUCAUUUAUUUGCACACCAAAGUAAUAAAGAGAUGUACUGUUUAAUAAGCCUAACCAAGCAACUAUUGGUCUUCACACAUACCUAAGAACAAAAGAAAAGUUUGCAGACCUUAGCAUGCAGGUACAGAGAAGUGAGAAGUUGUUUGUCAUACCUGUGGUCUACUUCCCUGCCCUGCUCGACAGAUCCUCUUUGCAAGAAUCCAUCCACCUUUCUGUUGGAAAAUGUAAAACCCUGAACAAGUGGGUUCAAACAUCCAAAUAAAUUAACACUAUCUUGAGAAAGAAAAGUAUAAUGAAAGGUGUCAUUAGCUGUAACAAUUCACAUUUAAUUCCUAUAUUUUUUUUAUUGGCAUAAUCACAGGCUAAGAAUAACAUGACCAAAGAGUCUAGGAAAGCCACUCAUUUCCUUGUUGAAAAAAAGCGUAGAAGAGGAAUUUGAAUACUGAGAAGCAAAAGUUAGCUGAUAACACGAAAUGGAAAAGACAGAAACAUGUGGGAGGCAGGCUAAGUGCGAGCGCCUUCCAGACGGGGCUCUGCCAAUUGACGUCAGCCCGCCAUGAGCCUCCCCCAGAUCUCGCAGACCAGCUGGGCUGCCCAACUGUGCAGGCUGUGGAUUGGUGUUAAAAUAUUUGGAUAUGGUCACGGAGAGUGAAUAGACUCUUAGAAUCACAGACUGUUUUCAUUGCUAGCAGGAGCCUUGGAGAUAAAAAUCCCUACGAGAAAGGAUAUUCUCCGGAAUAUUCGUUUUUGUCAGUUACAUAAAUCAGAAGAAUUCAUCAUUUCAAAUCCAACUGGAACUUAGUAAGAAGAUUGAUAAAUCGAAACCUUUUGAAAAUAAAGCAAUUUUGUGUGUUCAUGUGUUAGGGCUUACGAAUGUGACAUUCCAAUAUGUGUGUGAGAAUCAGGUUUUUUAAAAUGCAGGUAAGUUCUGGAGAAAAGGCAAAUCAAAGUUCAGUCCCCUAGGGUUUCUCCGUCACCACUGGUGGUUUCUACAAAUAAUUACCGAGCACCUACUGUGAGCCAGGUCAGGUUCUACCUGCCAGGAAUAUGUCCGUGAGUGAAACAAACAGAACCCCCUGCCCUCCUGUGAUUGAAAGCAUAGUGAAGACAACAGAAAAAGUGAAAACAUAGUAAAUUGUCUAGCAUGCUGUAAGAUGGAAAUGCUGUAAAGAAUGGGACAGAGAGGGAUGCCUGGGAGGCUCAGCAGUUGAGCAUCUGCCUUUGGCUCAGGGCCUGAUUCCGGGAUCCCGGAUCGAGUCCCGAAUUGGGCUCCCUGCAGGGAGCCUGCUCCUCCCUCUGCCUGUGUCUUUGCCUGUCUCUCUCUGUCUCUCAUAAAUAAAUUUUAAAAAUCUUAAAAAAAAGAAUGGGGCAGAGAAAGAUGGUUUGGAGGAGGUGUAGGACUAACAAGGGUAGAAGGUGGGCGUGGUUGACAAGCAGUUAUUCGGGCGGUGACCUGAAGAAGGAGAAAUGAGCCAAGCACAAGUCCAGGAGAAGAGCCUUCCAGGCAAAGGCCCUGAGGUAGGAGCCCCUUAUGUUGGUGGAGCAAUAAUGAACAGCAAAGAUGCCAGGGCUGUGAGCUGGGCAGUGAGGUGGGGGAUGUGUUCAGAGAGGGUGUGAGAAGACCUACAGUGAUUUACAGGCCAUUGUAAAAUCAUAGCCUUUUGCUCUGAAAUGAAGAGUGACCAGAAGGUUUUGAACAAGGAGUAGGAAUAAUAUAAUCUGAUUUAUAUUUUUAAAGAAUUGCUUUGGUGGAAGUCUGCAAGCUCAUCCCAGGGCAGCAGCAGCAAAGUGGAGAAAGGGUUCAUAUUCUGACACGCUGCAUUUUGAAGGGGGAGCCAACCUCACGAGGUGGUGGAAUGGAUGUGGGAUGAGAGAGAAAAAAGAUGAGUCAGGCAUAACUUGAUGUUUUUGGCCUGAGCUACUGGAGAGAAGGCGUUUCCUUUCCCUCAACAGAGAUGGGAUUACAGUGUGAUUUGGUCACCUGCUAUGUGUUAAGCACAGUGCCAGGUGCUAACUCCCUAAGCAUGAGCCAGGCCAGUAUUUUUCCAUCUUCAGACCAUGACCAGUUAGGAUGCUAGAAUUCAGUGAUUCUCAAUUAGAAUGUUUUAAAAAGCGCCAAUAGAAUGAUGCUGUGGAUACUUCGGUGCCCCACUAACACGGCUGGGGGUGCUGGGAACAUCAGCCCUGUCAGCUGAUGGACACAGCCCUCACCAGACAAUGUCUGUAAGCAGAGGGAACGACUUUGCCUAAGGAAGAGCACAUGGCCAAUAUCUGGCUGACAGGGGUAUAAAGCCCGACCUCUUGACUUCAGCUUGGAAAGCGUCAGAAGGGUCACCCAAGUUCUAGGGUCUCCCACAGGAUUGGCUGAAGCCUCAGUGAAAAAGUGCUCCAUCUUCUUUUCUGGAAACUAGACAAACAUCAAGGGCCAAGUCCUACUGAAGACCAGCUGAGAAUAUGCGGGCUUGCCAAGAGAACAGAGGGGCCGCAUGUAAAUGACAAGGAGCAACAGGAUCUAGAAAAUGCGUAUUGGCAGGGUGCUGAGGCAUAGGCAAAGCAG